GACGAACCGUGCGAACGUUGUUCGGAAUCACUGGGCUUAAAGGGAGCGUAGGCGGGCCACCAAGUCAGGGGUGAAAUCCCACGGCUCAACCGUGGAAGUGCCUCUGAUACUGGCGGCCUCGAGGGGUGCAGGGGCGUGCGGAACUAAGGGUGGAGCGGUGAAAUGCGUAGAUAUCCUUAGGAACACCGGUGGCGAAAGCGGCGCGCUAGACACCUACUGACGCUGAGGCUCGAAAGCCGGGGGAGCAAACGGG
rnacentral:rRNA from 1 species